rnacentral:lncRNA from 1 species
GGCGCCGUAUUGCAAUCACAAUAAAGACUAAAAAUUUGCUUUAUUUUCUGCUGCUUCAUUCCCUGCAGAGGACGCAAGAAAAAAAUAAAAAGGGAAAUCCCCUUUCUCUGCUAGGGUUCCAGGCUUAGCCUUGGAACCCCGCCGCCGUCCCUCCUUCCCACUUCUCCGAUCGCGCCGCCGUAAUAGUUGACGGGCAGAGGCGAAAGACGGGCUUUUAAUCUCGCUUUUAAGUGUGGUGAAUGACACCAGUGAGGGGGAGCCUAAAGAGAAAAAGGAGAAGUCUAACCCCCUUUAGCCCGACCCCGACGACGACGAAAGGAUCUCCGUCGAUGGAGCCACGCGGCGGUUUCAGGUACUUCUUUUUCCUUUUCUUUUUAUUCUAUUUUGUUUGUUAAAACUGAUUUGUAAAAAAAAAUAAAUAAUAAAAAACAAAAAUAAAAGGAAAACAGAAAAAAAACACCACAAAGGCAAUUAGAUUUCAACCUUUUCAAAUCUCUGUUCUAUUUUUGAUUUUUUCUGAUGAGCGUUCGUAAAAAAAAUACAACGAUUAGAUUCGGGCUUUUAUAGCCGAAUUAAAAAAAAACACUUUCUUCUUCUUUACUGUCUGUUAACUGUGCCCUUUUUUUUGCCAUUGUAUUUAAUUUUUGCAGGCGUCAGACGCGUGGACGACCGGUGGUUGGCGAGCCUUGGGCGGUGGCAGCGUGCGAGGAGGUAGAACGGCGCGCAUUGCUGGAGCCUGGCAUGCGGCGCUGGGGCUUAGGGUUUGCUUCCUUCUGCCAAAACUGUUAAAGUCAUUUGGGCCAUGUUUUUUAUUUUGGGCCCGUUGGGUGUAUUUAAUUUUUGCUUUGGGCCACUAUUGUAAUAGACUGUCUUAUUUUGGAUUUUAGGUUUCUAUUUUGGGCCUGGGCAAAAAUGGGCUCUUACAGCUGCCCCUCUUUGCUCAUUUUCGUGUAACGAGAAUAGAGCAAAGACUAAGAAAGGCCAAUUUUGCCCGGUCUCGCCGAGUCUUGACUUCUUGGUGCCUUUCUUCUUCAAGUAGCCUCAUUCCAGUCCAUUGCGUCUUACUUCUUUGAUCCACUUCACGGCAUCUUUAGAGAGAUAUGACUUCAAUCUACGCUGCUGCAACUCUAUGGGGAUGAGAUUUGUGGGUUUUUUUUAAAAAUUCGCUCCACUGCAAUUUCAGGGAGAUAGGAUUGAUUUCUUCUGUUUGCUCCACUACUGCUUAGGGAGAUAAGACUUGAUGCGAUCUGCUCCACUAUUGCUUAGGGAGAUAAGAUCUGGUUUCUUUUGUCUGCUCUGCUACUACUUAGGGAGAUAAGACUUGAUGUGAUCUGCUCCAUUACUGCUUAGGGAGAUAAGAUUUGUGGUUUUGUCUGCUCCGCUACUGCUUAGGGAGAUAAGACUUGUUGCGAUCUGCUCCACUAUUGCUUAGGGAGAUAAGAUCUGGUUUCUUUUGUCUGCUCCGCUACUACUUAGGGAGAUAAGACUUGAUGUGAUCUGCUCCAUUACUGCUUAGGGAGAUAAGAUCUGUGGUUUUGUCUGCUCCGUUACUGCUUAGGGAGAUAAAACUUGAUGUGAUCUUCUCCACUACUGCUUAGGGAGAUAAGAUCUGUGGUUUUGUCUGCUCCGCUACUACUUAGGGAGAUAAUACUUGAUGUGAUCUGCUCCACUACUGCUUAGGGAGAUAAGAUCUGUGGUUUUGUCUGCUCCGCUACUGCUUAGGGAGAUAAAACUUGCUGUGAUCUGCUCCACUACUGCUUAGGGAGAUAAGAUCUGUGGUUUUGUCUGCUUCGCUACUACUUAGAGAGAUAAGACUUGAUGUGAUCUGCUCCACUACUGCUUAGGGAGAUAAGAUCUAUGGUUUUGUCUGCUUCGCUACUGCUUAGGGAGAUAAGAUUUGCUGUGAUCUGCUCCACUACUGCUUAGGGAUAUAAGAUCUGUGGUUUUGUCUGCUCCGCUACUGCUUAGGGAGAUAAGACUUGAUGGGAUCUGCUCCACUACUGCUUAGGGAGAUAAGAUCUGUGGUUUUGUCUGCUCUGCUACUGCUUAGGGAGAUAAGACUUGACGCGAUAUGCUCCACUACUGCUUAGGGAGAUAAGAUCUGCUGGCUUCAAUGUACUCCACUGUAAUCUCAGGGAGGUAAAAUUCGCCAUCUUCAACCUGCUCCACUACUGUUUAGGGAGAAAAGGUUGGAAUCUUCGAUUUGCUUCGCUGUCACUGCAGGAAGGCAUAAUCUGCAAUCUUCAGUCUAUUCUCUGGGGAACAUGACCUGUAAAAUCUAUUUUAUGGACCUAUUUAUGCCUAGUAUUUAGGAUGACAUGAUCAGAAUAAAUCAAAUGCUCCUAACUAGAUGUGUAUGAACGAUAUUGAAUGAAUGUAAAAUGUCAUGAGAAUGAUCCCCUUUUUAAUGUUCGGGUUGUCCUUGCUCAAUGUUUAUCAAGGCUUUAUCGCUGAUGCGUCACUGUGCCUUCUUGUUCAACUAGUAACUUUAACAGCAAAUCCAAAGAAAUAGUUACAAUUCAGACCAUUCUUUCUCAAAUAUACCUAACCCUUAAGUUGGUUAGUUCUGAACAAUAGCCUUGUUUUGGGUCCUCGUAUUAUUUAGAAACUUCAGAGUAAUAUGCAGCACUUCUUCUGCUUGAAUAUUGUCAGCCCAAUAAUCGUUACUUCAAUGAAAAUUUUUGAAUAAGAUUACCAAAAUAGACAAGAUGGAAUUUUGUUAAGAGCAAAGCUCUAAACAAAUAAAUCAAUCAAGAUAACAAAUUUUGUUAAAAUGAAUAAGAUGAAAAAGAUUAUCACAAUGGAUAAAAUGGAAAUUAAUUGAGAGCAAAGCUCUAAAUGAACAAAUUAAUCAAAAUAGAGAUUUUGCUAAGAUACAAAAACGAAUGAGAUGAAAACAGGUGCCCCAGAUAUCGUAGCGUGAGCUUCUCUGUCCUAAACUUCUUGAAGACCCUUUUGAACUUGACAUGUGUUUAGAAGUCCUAAAAGACUUUGUUGAUGCCCCAAGCUGUAGUAUCUCUCCUCUUAUUAACUUGGAGAUGAUAAGAUUACCGUAUGCCUCAUCUUUGAUCAAAAAAAUUGAACUGCCCAUUUCUGGGUUUUCAAUUCAAUACCCCUUUGGUCUCAAUGCGCCUUUUGCGGGUUUUCGCCUUGGCCUCUCCUUUUUUUUUAGGCAAAGUACCUCUUCACUGAAUCUGAAUUCACAGGAUUGGCCAAGCUUUUACCAUCCAUCUCGGUUAAAAUUAAUGCUCCUCUAGAGAAAGCCUUCUUUACCACAUAAGGUCCCUCCCAGUUUGGCAUCCACUUUCCUCUGAAGUCUUUUUGUAUGGGAAGGAUCUUCUUCAGUACCAAAUCCCCUUUAUGGAAGUUCCUAGGAUGAACUUUCUUAUUGUAAGCUCGUAUCAUUCGUUUCUGGUACAUUAAACCAUGACGGAUAGCUCUUAACCUCUUUUCUUCAAUCAAGUUCAGCUGAUCGUAUCGAGAUUGGACCUAUUCUGCUUCGUCUAACUUUAGUUCUGAUAAAACUCGAAGAGAGGGAAUUUCAACCUCAAUUGGUAGCACCACCUCCAUUCCAUAAACCAAAGAAAAUGGUGUUGCCCCGAUGGAAGUCUUGACAGACGUUCGAUAAGCAUAGAGGGCGAAUGGUAACUUCUCGUGCCAAUCUUUAUAGGUCUCAGUCAUUUUCCCCACAAUCUUCUUAAUAUUCUUAUUGGCCGCCUCUACCGCGCCAUUCAUUUUUGGACGAUAUGGCGAUGAGUUGUGGUGUUUGAUCUUGAAUUGACUGCAAACCUCUGCUAUCGUGCUAUUGUUCAAGUUCAAUGCAUUGUCAGAUAUAAUCCUUUCGGGCAUUCCAUAUCGACAUAUAAUUUCUUUAUUUAAAAACUUGCUGACGGCUGCCUUUGUGACGUUGGCGUAAGAAGUAGCCUCUACCCACUUAGUAAAGUAGUCAAUCACUACAAAAAUGAAACUAUGUCCGUUUGAAGCCUUUGGCGAUAUCGGCCCAAUGACGUCCAUGCUCCACAUGGAGAAAGGCCAUGGGGAAGUUAUGACGUGAAGAGGUGAGGGAGGCACAUGAAUUUUGUCUCCGUAAAUCUGGUAUUUAUGACACUUCUUAGCAUAUUUGAUGCAGUCUCCCUCCAUAGUAGACCAAUAAUAUCCGAAUCUCAUGAUUUGUCUGGCCAUUGUGAAACCGUUAGCGUGUGUUCCAUAAAUACCAUCAUGGACUUCUUCCAAGAUCUGCUUGGCCUCCACAGCGUCCACACAUCUUAACAGCACCUGAUCCUUUCCUCUUUUGUACAGGAUCUCUCCAUCUAAGACGUAGUCAUUAGCCAGCCUCCUCAAUGUUCUCUUGUCAUUCUUAGUUUCUUGGUUUGGGUAUUCGUGAUUUUUCACGUAUCGCAAUAUGUCCUGAUACCAAGGGUUGUCGUAUUUUUCUUCUUCCUCGUCAAUGUUACAACAGUGGGCUGGAGCACCAUAAAUGCUCAUUUGGAUAGGCUUCACAUCCUCUGGUCUAUUUACUUUGAUCAUGGAAGCCAAUGUAGCCAAAGCGUCGACCAUCUGAUUCUCGUCUCGUGGAAGAUAACAAAAAGUGAUGUCGUCAAACUCCUCAAUCAAUUCUAGGACAAGCUUUCGAUAAUUAAUCAACUUGGGGUCUCUUGUUUCCCAUUCACCUUUGAGCUGAUAAAUUACCAAUGCCGAAUCCCCAUAUACCUUAAGUACCUUGAUUUUGCGUUCCAUAGCCGCACGGAUUCUCAUGAUACAUGCUUCAUAUUCCGCCAUGUUAUUUGUGCAAUCAAACUCUAGUUUACUAGUGAACGGAUAAUGAUCACCGUCUCGAGAUACCAAGACUACCCCAAUUCUGUUGCCCACAGCAUUUGAGGCUCCGUCAAAGUUUAAUUUCCAAGCAUUGCUUUCUUGUGUGUUUGCUUCAGUAGUUGCCACAUACAUUAGAUCCUCGUUUGGGAAAUCGAAGUUCAAAGGCUCAUAAUCAUCCAAGGCUCUACUAGCCAGAAAAUCUGCUAUCACGCUCCCUUUUACAACCUUUUGAUUCACAUAGGUUAUGUCAAAUUCAGAUAGUAGAAUUUGCCAUCGGGCCAUCCUUCCGUUUAGAGCAGUUGACUCUAUCAUGUAUUUCAGAGGGUCUAACUUUGAGAUUAACCAAGUCGUAUGGUACAACAUGUAUUGUCUCAAUCUUCGAGUAGUCCAAACCAAGGCGCAACAUAAUUUUUCAAUUGGUGAAUAUCUCAUUUCACAUUCAGUGAACUUCUUGCUAAGAUAGUAGAUUGCUCUUUUUUUUCGUCCUGACUCAUCAUGUUGGCCGAGCACACACCCCAUAGAAUUUUCGAAUACUGUCAAGUAUAGUAUCAGUGGCUUGUCCGGGCAUGGUGGCAUUAGUACUGGGGCGUUGGACAGGUAAUGUUUAACUUUUUCAAAAGUUUUCUGGCACUCCUCGUCCCAUACACCUGGAUUGUAUUUUCUAAGAAGACGGAAAAUGGGGUCACAUUUCUCAGUUAACUGCGAAAUGAAUCGAGCGAUGUAAUUUAGUCUUCCCAAAAAACCUCGAACUUCUUUCUGAGUACUUGGCGGAGGUAAUUAUUGUAUGGCUUUAACUUUGUCUGGGUCAAUUUCAAUUCCCCUUUCGCUGACUAAGAAUCCUAGCAACUUUCCUGAUCUAGCCCCGAAAGUACACUUGGCUGGGUUAAGUUUUAGCUGGAAUUUUCUUAACCUUAAGAACAAUUUUCUCAAAACUUGCACAUGCUCUUUUUCAGUUUUGGACUUCGCAAUCAUGUCGUCAACGUAGACUUCGAUCUCUUUGUGUAUCAUGUCAUGGAAUAAGGUUACCAUGGCUCUUUGAUAAGUUGCCCCAGCGUUUUUCAAUCCGAAUGGCAUCACCUUGUAACAAAACGUUCCCCACAUAGUUAUGAAUGUAGUCUUUUCCAUGUCUUCAGAAUGCAUCUUAAUUUGGUUGUACCAGGAGAAACCAUCCAUGAAAGAGAACAGUGAGUAUCCGGCCGUGUUGUCUACCAAGGUAUCGAUAUGAGGCAGUGGAAAAUUAUCCUUUGGGCUAGCUUUGUUCAAGUCUCUGUAGUCCACGCACAUUCGUACCUUCCCAUCUUUCUUAGGAACAUGGACUAUAUUGGCUACCCAUUCUGAGUACUUGACCACCUGUAAGAAACCAGCAUCAAAUUGCUUCUUAACUUCUUCCUUUAUUUUUAGCAAGACAUCAGGCCUCAUCUUUCGGAGCUUUUGUUGAACUGGCCUACAUUCUUCCUUUAUAGGCAGUCGGUGUACCACGAUAUCUGUACUUAACCUAGGCAUAUCUUGAUAGGACCAUGCAAAGACAUCUUUAAACUCUUGAAGCAACUCAACGAGGUCUCGCCUUGUUUCCUCGGUAAUGCUAGUGCCAAUCUUUACAUUCCUUCCCUCUUCUAAGCUCACGACUUCUACUGAUUCCUUAUAGGGUAGGAUUUGUUUUUCUUCUUCCUCCACCAUUCUUAACAAAUCCGGAGAUAAAACGAUGUCUUGGUCGUCUUCAAAAUCUUGAGGAUCAUCCACACUCAUUCUCGUUCAAAUAGGGACUCUGAGUUAGUAAUAGCGUCGCUCGUCUCGUUGAUAUCUGAAGACUUGUUAUUGGGAUAAAAGGAGACCCAAAUAAAAGAAUCUAAGAAUACUUGCAUGCGUAGUAUGAUUAUAAAUGGAAUGAAAAGAAUGAGAGAAUAUUUGCUCAAGGUGAGACUGAAUGAUAAGUUUUCAUUGAAAUUAGAUUUUGGUCAUGUGCCUUUUACAAAAGAUUCUUAUUACCCCCAGGCUUAGGGAAACAAGUGUUCUGAAUAUUACUCUAAAUUAGUUCUAAAUGUUACAGGGAUCUCUUCUGCAGUCCAGUUGUUCAGAACACUUCCAGGUUCAUAAGGGCGAAUGCCCGAUAAAUUCCUUUCCACCAUUUCCUCCGCGGAUAUGGCAUUGAUGUCCAACCUUCCAGUCCUUCCUUCCGUAACUUCAUUCUUUUUUUCGGGGUAGACAAUUCCCCUUGAAACAAAUGUCUUAGAUAUAUGGGGAAAGGUCAUCGGUCCCCAUUCAAUUUCUAUCCCGCUCAAACGUGCUCUUCUUUUCUCCCGUUUUUUCUCUAACUCAUUCUUCCUUUCCCUCGCGUCAGGCUUAUACCCCAAACCACAACGGUCGUGUUUGUUAACCAAGAUCGGUACUUCGACCCAUCCCUGGAGGUAUUUUCCAAGUCCUCUUCCAGGCAACGCUCCAUUUCCCAUUGUUAGCUGUAGACUCAUUGACGUAGCUUUGGAUAUCUUAGGCUCUGGAAUUUUGCUCCACUCGAUGAAAAAUGUUGCAUUUAUGAAUUCUAAUGAUCGGAAUGAACAUUCUAUCGUUUCACUAUCGACCUCUAUAUAUGGCAUGUCAUCAGUGACUGAUGCAAUGAUGUCCUCUUCUGCGCCUAUAGUUACCAAUCGGCCCUCUGUUACUAAUUUUAACUUUUGGUGAAGUGACGAUGGUACAGCCCCUGCAGAAUGGAUCCAAGGCCUUCCCAAUAGGCAAUUGUAAGAUGGUUUAAUAUCCAUUACCAAAAAGUCCACCUCGUAUGUAUUUGGACCAAUCAAUAGAGGUAUCUCGAUUCUUUCCAUCACUUUUCUCUCAGUGCCAUCGAAUGCUCUCACUAUAUUUUGGCAUGAUUUCAUGUGAGAACUGUCCACAGGUAGCCUGUUUAAUGUGGACAGGGGUAAAACAUUCAGUGCCGAUCCAUUGUCAAUGAGUACCCCUGGUAGUGUACACCCCUUGCAACGGGCAGUGAUGUGCAAGGCCUUGGUAGAUCCCAUACCACCUGGUGAGAUCUCAUCAUCGUUGAAGAAGAUGAAGUUGUCGGCAUUUAUAUUGUUAACCAGGCGAUCCAACUUGUUCACUGAGAUAUCGCUAGCAACAUAAGUCUCAUUUAGCACUUUUAUCAACGCAUUACGAUGUGUCUCUGAACUUAGAAGUAGCUCGAGUACUGAGAUGCGAGCUGGUUGCUUAUGCAGUUGUUCUACCACGUUGUACUCGCUAUGUUUCAAGAAUUUUAAGAAUUCUCUAGCCUCAUUUUUAGUCACCAGUUUGUUGACAAGCGAUUCAAUUCUGGCCGUCUUUGUUUUAUCUUGCUCAACCGCCAAGGCUUUUCCUUUUAUAGGCUCUCCUUUUGUAUUUGCCGGGUCAUAGCGUUUUUCGCUGCGUGUAUAGAAACCUACAUCAUUACCCUCCUCUGAAACAUUUAUCGGGUUCUCCGAGAUUGUCACAUUGUAGUCAUAACUCCAAGGAACCUUUUUACUAUCCUUGUAAGGAAAGGGUACGGGUUUUUGGAUUAUGACCCCUGGCACCAGUUGUAUUCCAGAUCCUGUGUUUCUUGGCCUUGAAAUAAUCACCACCGGGUGAUUUUAGGCUUUUCCCGUAGGUCCUUCCUCCGAGGCAAAAACUUCUCCUUCUUCUAGUCCUUUGAUCUCUUCAUAAAAUUCUAGCUCUUUGUUGUUCAUCAGAUUUUGUACCAUGGCCCUGAAUUCAGUGCAGUUUUGAAUGUCAUGGUCCUCUUUAGCAUGGACCUCGCAAUAUUUCUUUAUUCCUUCGGGCCUUUCCUUUGAUUCUUGCUUGAUUAGACCUCUCUUUAUCAUUUGUCUCAAAACCCAUUUCAGUGGGGUAUUCACAUCCGCAAUGUCAUCUUUGAUUCUCCUUCCCCCAUUCUCAAUUAUUGCAUUUAUUCCCUUAUCAGAAAGAUUGGGUAACGGAUUCCCUGCCACGUUUGGUCCCGAUAGGUUGUCAAACUUUACAAUCCCCAUCUUAAUGAAUCUUUCCACCGCCUUCUUAAACGCAGUGCAGUUCUCAAUCGAGUGCCCUGGUAUCUCCGCAUGGUAUUCACAUUGGGCAUUCAUGUCAUACCAUUUAGGGUAUGGAGGUUGCAUGGGCUCUAGAUAAUGUGGAGAUACUAUGUGCGCAUCGAAUAGCUUCUAAUACAGUUCCUUGUACGUUAUUGGAAUGGGCGUGAAUUGAAGUCUCUCCGUGUUGGGCCUUGUGUUGGGCUCUUUCCUUGAGGGGCCUUGAUGACUAGUGGCAGCCGUUCUUGGAGGGCCAACAGUAAUCGGUUUUGAAUAACUCUUGCUAUAUGUGCUUACGUUGUUUAUCUCGCUUUCUUUUUUUCUUAGGGCUGGUCUUUUGGAGCUUUCCCCCGCGUCUAUUUUGCCACUUCUUAUUGUGUUUUCGAUCAUUUCACCGGACAUCACCAUAUCCGAGAAGCUCUUAGUAGCACUCCCCAACAUGUGGUUGAUGAAUGGAGCUUUCAAAGUGUUGAUAAACAGCAUAGUGACCUCUUUUUCCAAAAGGGGUGGCUGGACUUGCGUUGCCACCUCUCUCCACCUCUGGGCAUAUUGUCUGAAGCUCUCACUUUGUUUCUUUUCCAUGUUAUGUAACGUAAUUCGAUCAGGUGUUAUGUCUGUCACAUGGCUAUAUUGCUUUAUAAAAGCUUGCGCCAAAUCUCUCCAUGAACUAACUUUAGCACGACUCAGCUGGUUGUACCAUUUAGCUGCAGACCCGAUCAAAGUAUCCUGAAAGCAGUGGAUUAACAGUUGAUCAUUGUUGACGUAUCCUGUCAUUCUUCGACAGAACAUGGUUAUAUGAGCUUCAGGACAACUAGUCCCGUUGUAUCUUUCGAACUCCGGCAUCUUGAACUUAGGCGGGAGCACUAAAUCAGGAACCAAACUCAAAUCUUUAGCGUCGACUCCACAUUGGUAGUUGAUGUUCUCCAUGGCCCUAAAUUUUUCCUCUAGCCAUCUACACCGUUCUUCUAGUUGUUUUGGCAAGUCCAUUUUCGCUUUCUCCAUCUCUGCUAUGUUAUCGAGAUCAGGGACCACAGGGUUGGUAGGGUUGUCCUCGGGAUUAGAACCCGAGCCUACUUGAAAAUGCAUUGGUACCGAGGUGCCGGCCCGAUAUUGAGGUCCAGGUGCUCCUUGUGGGCAUAUGUCUAGUUGUGCCUGGGUACUUGUCAAGGUAAAACCUGGAGGAUAAACAGGAUCCUCCUGAUCAACUCUCGAAUUAAUUACAGGGCUCUUUCCUUUAUCAGCCAAUAAUUGUGCCAGUUGGCUCAUAAUUCUUUGGGAUUCCAGCUCGUCCUGUUGGAUUUUAUCCAAUUGUUCCUGCAUCUUAUCCUGCAUUUCUUUUUGCAUUUGUUCUAGCCUUUCUAACCUUUGAUCCAUUGCCUUUGUUUGACGUCGAGUACCGUAGUGAUAUUUGGUUGGUGGAUUUUUGUUGGUUUCCAGGGUAACUGUGACAAUUUUGAUUAAUUAGGGCCUUCUUAAUGAAACUGAAUGCAUGUAAUGAAAUGUAAUGUAAAUGCAUGAAUGCAAAAUGGAGGCAUUGAUUCUAAUUCAAUUUCAUUAGAAGAACUCGAUUUAGAAAACAAAUUUAUUUACAUAAAAUGGACUACAUAUACGGCUUUGCCCUUAUACUCAAAGCCUUAACACUCCUAAGGAGCCGAGCCAACUCUCGACCUCGGCCCGAUUCUGAUUCAUAACUUAAACUCAACACAUCAGCUUGAACUGCUAAGGUUUGCAGAUGAUCGGCUACUUCCCGUACUUGGGUAACAGCUUCAACCAUAAUGUAAUCUCUAUCUCUAAUCUAAUUUUGGGCAUGAUGGAACUGCUCUUGGUAAUGUUCGUUACGCCUUUCAAGAAGCUCCAAUCGCAGUUCAGAAUUGUACAACACAUCCUCAAGCUCCCCUAUCUUUCCCUUCAGUUCUUCGAUCUUAUUUAAGCUCGCUCUUAACUCUAUCGUAGAGUUACGACUACGGUGCAAAUGAAGUGACUUUUCCAACUCUGCUACCCGCACUUUUAAUCUUGCUUCUUCAUUCUGGCAUUCUGACAAGUUUUUCUCCAAAGUGCUCUCUCGAACCAGGGCAUCUUGAAAUUUCUUCUCCCAUUUAUCAGCUUUGGUCUUUUCUUUUUUGAUCUCCUGUCGCCACUGCUCUGACGUUUUACCCAAACCGACAGUUCUCAUCGACAAUCGCAGCUUCUUAUAAUCCGUUUUUAAACUAUCUAAAUCCUCUUCAGCCUUGUUCUUCCCCUUCCUUAACUUUUCGGCUUCCAACUUGUGAAUAUCGACAUCUAAUCCCAAACGCAUCUUUUCCUCUUCUAGUUGCUCAAUUUUCUUUCCCAGCUCCGAACUUCUCCUUUCAAAGUCUUGCUUAAUGAUUUCUAGUUCUGACGGAACCACUUGUAGAUGCUCUUCUAUCGGUCUAACAUCCACUUGGCUUGACACGGGGAUAUUAUCGUUGAUUCUUUUUUCCAACCACAUACUAUACUCGGGAGUUGUCAUUGGGUUUACAGCAAGUAUCUUCAUUCUGUGGAUUUGGUUCCAAGCAUUUGAUAUUUCACGAACCCUCUUCUUGUAAUUAUCUUCUUUGAAUGAAAAUUCACACUGAGCCAACCCUUGUGUUGCCGGUAUGAAUUGUCUAAAUCUGUACUGCCUCGAGACUAACAAAGGGGCGUAUCAAAUGGCUCCCCAAAUUUCAAGCAAAGGAACCCAAUUGAACUCUCCACAUCGAUACAAAAUCUCAUUAGGGAUCAUCCACAGGGCUCUUCACUCGACAUCCUCCUCUUGAAGAUUUUGGAGAAUCAUGAUCCAUUUCUCUUCCGUGAUAUCGUAUUGUCUUGGCGUAGCCACUAAUUCCUUUAAUGGAGAAUAGUUUUCAGAGAAUACCCAAUAGGAGAUCUUCUCUACUUUCCAAAAGUGACUAUGGAACCACACUAAUAACAAUUACGCGCAUCCGAUGAACCUUCCUUCACCUGCUCUUCGACAUGCACUUAGAGAUCUGAAGGUUUCAGCCAAAAUUGCUAGGACUGGUGUGACCCUCUUGUCAAGCCUGUCAAACAAAUCUGAAACUACUUCGUCCACAUGCCCUAAUGCCUUGGGGAAAAUGACCAAACCAUAAAUGCUGAAAGCGAAAAUAUCGACCCUUUUUCUCACAUCCGGAUGUGCCAAGAUCAGAUCUCGCAGAUUUUUCCAAGGCAUGCACUUGUUGUCUCUCUUUUGCUUAAUCCGGGCUGCAACCCAUUGCUCGCUCAUUCCUGUAACACUCAUUAAUUUCUUCAAGAAUGUCGGGACAUGCUGCUCUCGAAUAGGCCCUAUCAACUUGGAUCCUCGGACAUCGAAGCAAAGUCGUAUAUUCUUCUAUUGUAGGUACCAAAUCUACUUUUCCAAACGUGAAACAACUGUAGGCAGGAUUCCAAUACUGCACGAGGGCUCGGAGCAAGUGUUUGUCUACCUUUACGUCGAGUAGAUAAGGCAAAUCACCAUAGUUACUGUAGAAGAGCUGUCUGAUCUCAUCACUCCACUGAUCCCAAAUCUCCUUCAAUUCUUGUAGGUUGUUUUGAGUUACGCUGAUUCGAGUGAAGUCCCAUAACUUUGACACGUAUCCUUCCAUGAGGCUAUCACCCUUUUCUUGCUGAACCUUUUCGGACCAAACUCGGACGGCCGCAUUAUCUUCCACUUUACCAAGAAACUCCCUUUCCAUGUUAAGCUCUCUAUUUAAAUACUGAACGCGAAUCAACACCUUCUUUAUGAUGAGAAUGCCAUGCAAUCACAAUUAAGGUAAAAGCAAAGCGAGUCAGUAUAACAAUAAACUAAAAUUCAAAGUAUACAAGGAAUAAUAAUUAAAGCUACUAUUCAGGAAACCACUAGGGGUUGAGGUGAUUCUACCUAGGUAGGCUCUUAGGGCUCACUACAUGCGGUUCAGCUCUAAAACAAAGGUACCCGAACCAGCAGAUUCCUCGAUCCUCACCCAUUAUAGACUCAUGCGGACUGAGUUCGGUUCAGGGGAAUACAUUUCCCUAUGACUGCACGGAGAUGAAAAUUUCAUGAAGACAUAGGUACGGAUGUAUCCCGAAAGUGAUCUACUAUCCUGCACGGAGGUGAAAACUCACGAAGGAGUGGCUUCUCACUUCCACUUAAAAGGGUGAGACCCGUGGUCAUGUAAUGCAAUGAGCAGAGAUAUAAGAAUAAAAUACAAAACAUGAUAAAAUAACUCAAAACAAAGGAAAUCCAAUGAGAGGAUCGUAAAUUUAAAUCGAAUUUUCAAAUUUCGACAAAAAGACAAGAAAUAAUCAACACAUGGCUUAACUCUCUUAUUUUGUUCCCCAGUGGAGUCACCAAGCUGUUGACACUAUUUUUUUGACAAAACGGGGCCGACUUGGAUUUUGAAAAAGAAAACGGGAGUCGCCACCAAUCUUUUUUUUGAUGAGGUGUGAUCGGGUCACCUCGAAAAGUGGUUGUUUUUAAUAAACGAUUUAAUUUUUAUUAAAACAACGAUUUUGGUCUACGAAAUUCAGAAAAACGGGUUCGGGAGUCGGUUACGCACGAGGAAGGAUUAGCACCCUCGAUACGCCCAAAAUUGGUACCUAGUUGAUUACUUAAUGUCUUGGUGUCGAAAAUUAAAAAACUCGAAAAGAAUUUAAAAAUACAAUCCCUCUUUAUUUUGUGCUAUUUUAAAAAAAAUACUCGAAUAAAUCAAAAUGGAAAAAUGCCUCCUUAUCUCGAAGUAAUAAGAUGUCACACCCAGUAAGUUAGGAUCCGACAUCUCAUAUUUUCGAGAGUAAGCUUGCAUAUAGAUUUUUUUGUUUAAAAUUUAUUUUAAUUUUAAAAGGAUAUUCGAUUAUUUAGGAUCAACGCGAGAAAAAUCGAAGCCCAGUAAGUUAGGGCACGAUUUCUCGAAUUUUCUAAAUCAGAAUAUUGCCUUUAUUUUCAAAAUUUUAUGUGUUUAGAAAUUUAAAAGGAUAUUUUGCUAUUUGGGUUCAAUGAGAAAAUCGAAACCUAGUAAGUUAGGGUACAAUUUCCCGAAUCCUAAAACGCGAAAUAUUGCCUUAUUUUAGAAAUUUUACCCUUUUAAUAUUUAAAAACCAAAUGCGUGCAAUUUUGAUUAUAUUUCUGCAGAGAAUUUAUUUAAGAUGGAAAGGAUGCCGUACAAAGUCUAUGAUGAAUAUACAAACAUACAUUUAAAAUCCAUAAUAUAAUAAUGCAUUGUAAAAUAUACACAUAGCAUAGAUAUUAAUAAAUCCUAAUGACGAAAUGCGUGAAUAAUAAUGUAAGAAAUAAUAUAACAAUAACAUCAAUAUGAUAACAAAACAAAUAUAAUUCUACUAAAUCUAGAUUUGAAAACAUUUGAAGACAACAAAUAAAUAAUUAAUGAAAUGAAAUUGCAAUAACAAUAGCAAAAAUAAAUAAAUGAAAUAAACAAGACAAAAGAUUUACAAAGAGGUGGCGGCAUGCGAGGAGGUGGAACGACGUGCAUUGUUGGAGCCUGGCAUGCGGCGCUGGGGCUUAAGGUUUGCUCCCUUUUGCCGAAACUGUUAAAGUCAUUUGGGCCAUGUUUUUUAUUUUGGGCCCGUUGGGUGUAUUUAAUUUUGGCUUUGGGCCACUACUGUAAUAGACUGUCUUAUUUUGGAUUUUGGGUUUCUAUUUUGGGCCCGGGCAAAAAUGGGCUCUUACAAAUAUGUCUCCUCAAAGGUCUUAAGAAUGCCAUUUUUGCCAAGCCAUCCGCAACCGUAUUCUCCUCUCUGAACAUAUGCCUAACGUGAACCAUCCAGGAAUGUUUGCAAAGGUCCUUAAUGGCACGCCCCACAACUGAAUAAGUUUGUUAAUCUUCAUUUGCUUGGAUCACUUCCAUAGUUUUAAUCCUAUCCAUCUCAAGUAUCACCUUCUCUAAACCAAGAUUCCAUGCUAGUUGGAGCCCCUUAAGAACACCCCAAAAUUUAGCCGGAACCAUAGAACAACAAUCAAUAUUUUUAGAAAAACCAACUACCCAAACCCUCUAAUGAUCUCAUAUUAAACCACCUGCUGCAGUAAUCUUGGACAAUUGGCAAAUUGCACCAUCAAUAUUCCAAAGUGAAUUAUUAUUUAUGUACAGGUAAUGCCCAAAAAUUUAAGCUUGGAAAGAGAAAAUCCAAAGAAGGAAAUGAGAAAAAAAGGAGGCAUUAAAUUGUUAUUGCCUAAUGGAACUCAUUUUCUCAAAUAAAAGGAAAAAGAAAGUUUUUUUUUUGUUUUUGUUUUUGUUUGGCGAGGAAAAAAAGUGAAA